rnacentral:rRNA from 1 species
UACGUAGGGUGCAAGCGUUAAUCGGAAUUACUGGGCGUAAAGCGUGCGCAGGCGGUUUUGCAAGUCAGAUGUGAAAUCCCCGGGCUCAACCUGGGAACUGCAUUUGUGACUGCACGGCUGGAGUGCGGCAGAGGGGGAUGGAAUUCCGCGUGUAGCAGUGAAAUGCGUAGAUAUGCGGAGGAAUACCAGAGGCGAAGGCGGCACCCUGGGUCUGACCUGACACUGAUACGCGACAGCAUGGGGAGCGAACGGG